rnacentral:rRNA from 1 species
GACGAACGCUGGCGGCGUGCCUAAUACAUGCAAGUAGAACGCUGAAGGAGGAGCUUGCUCUUCUGGAUGAGUUGCGAACGGGUGAGUAACGCGUAGGUAACCUGCCUGGUAGCGGGGGAUAACUAUUGGAAACGAUAGCUAAUACCGCAUAACAGUAGAUGUUGCAUGACAUUUGCUUAAAAGGUGCAAUUGCACCACUACCAGAUGGACCUGCGUUGUAUUAGCUAGUUGGUGGGGUAACGGCUCACCAAGGCGACGAUACAUAGCCGACCGGCGAGGGGGCUCGGCCACGCUGGGACUGGGACACGGCCCAGACUCCUACGGGAGGCAGCCGUAGGGAAUCUCCGGCAAUGGACGGAAGUCUGACCGAGCAACGCCGCGUGAGUGCAGAAUGUUUUCGGAUCGUAAAGCUCUGUUGUAAGAGAAGAACGAGUGUGAGAGUGGAAAGUUCACACUGUGACGGUAUCUUACCAGAAAGGGACGGCUAACUCCGUG